CUGUGACCGGGCCCGGCCCACCAAGCUGUGACCGGGCCCGGCCCACCUGCAACCCGGGUAUGUAUGCCAGCUAUAUCCAGUGCUGCAAGCUCCCUCUUCAAUAUAUCUACAGCUUCUUAUACACACACAAAUCAACUGCUAUUUUUUUUCAAUAAUGGUUUUAGUGGGGGCCUCAUAUAUGAGUCUCGCCUAAGGCCUCGCCAAGUCUAG